ensembl:snRNA U6 U6 spliceosomal RNA
GUGCUCACUUGAGCAGCACAUAAACUAAAACUGGAACAAUACCGAAGCUAGCAUGGCCCCUGCACAAGGAUGACUGACAUGCAAAUUCAUGAAGCAUUCCAUAUUUUU